rnacentral:rRNA from 1 species
ACGGGAGGCAGCAGUGAGGAAUAUUGGUCAAUGGGCGGAAGCCUGAACCAGCCAUGUCGCGUGAAGGAUGAAGGUAUUAUGUAUUGUAAACUUCUUUAGACGCAGAGAAAUAAGAGGGUCGUGACCCUUGAUGCUAGUAUGCGUAGAAUAAGGAUCGGCUAACUCCGUGCCAGCAGCCGCGGUAAUACGGAGGAUCCGAGCGUUAUCCGGAUUUAUUGGGUUUAAAGGGUGCGCAGGCGGCUUUUUAAGUCAGUGGUCAAAGCGUGGGGCUCAACCCCAUCCCGCCAUUGAUACUGGAGGGCUUGAUUGCGGUUGAGGUUGGCGGAAUUCGCCGUGUAGCGGUGAAAUGCAUAGAUAUGGCGAAGAACACCAAUUGCGUAGGCAGCUGACCAAGCCGUAAAUGACGCUCAUGCACGAAAGUGCGGGGAUCGAACAGGAUUAGAUACCCUGGUA